rnacentral:rRNA from 1 species
UGGGGAAUCUUGCACAAUGGACGAAAGUCUGAUGCAGCGACGCCGCGUGCGUGAUGACGCCCUUCGGGGUGUAAAGCGCUUUCGACAGGAACGAUAAUGACGGUACCUGGAGAAGAAGCUGCGGCUAACUACGUGCCAGCAGCCGCGGUAAUACGUAGGCAGCAAGCGUUGUUCGGAGUUACUGGGCGUAAAGAGUCUGUAGGCGGUGCUCUAAGUUUGGUGUGAAAUCCCCCGGCUUAACCGGGAGGGUGCGCCGAAGACUGGGGUGCUGGGAGUACGGGAGAGGAAAGCGGAAUUCCUGGUGUAGCGGUGAAAUGCGUAGAGAUCAGGAGGAACACCGGUGGUGUAGACGGCUUUCUGGACCGUGACUGACGCUGAGAGACGAAAGCGUGGGGAGCAAACAGGAUUAGAUACCCUGGUAGUCCACGCCCUAAACGAUGCAUACUUGGUGUGCGCCAUUCAGUUGGUGCGUGCCGGAGCUAACGCGUUAAGUAUGCCGCCUGGGGAGUAC